AACGAACGCUGGCGGCAUGCCUAACACAUGCAAGUCGAACGAUACCUUCGGGUCUAGUGGCGAACGGGUGCGUAAGGCGUGGGAACCUGCCCUUAGGUUCGGAAUAACUCCCCGUAAGGGGUGCUAAUACCGGCUAAUAUCUUCGACGCAAAGCUUUAUCGACUUUGGAUGGGCCCGCGUUGGAUUAGCUAGUUGGUAGGGUAAAAGCCUACCAAGGCGACGAUCCAUAGCUGGUCUGAGAGGAUGAUCAGCCACACUGGGACUGAGACACGGCCCAGACUCUUACGGGAGGCAGCAGUGGGUAAUCUUGGACAGUGGGCGACAGCCUGAUCCAGCAAUGCCGCGUGAGUGAUGAAGUCCUUAGGGUUGUAAAGCUCUUUUACCCGGGAUGAUAAUGACAGUACCGGGAGAAUAAGCUCCGGCUAACUCCGUG
rnacentral:rRNA from 1 species